AUUGAACGCUGGCGGAAUGCUUUACACAUGCAAGUCGAACGAUGAACCUUAGCUUGCUCUGGGGAUUAGUGGCGAACGGGUGAGUAAUAUAUCGGAACGUGCCUUGUAAUGGGGGAUAACUAGUCGAAAGAUUAGCUAAUACCGCAUACGCCCUGAGGGGGAAAGUAGGGGAUCUUCGGACCUUACGUUAUAAGAGCGGCCGAUAUCUGAUUAGCUAGUUGGUGGGGUAAUGGCCUACCAAGGCGACGAUCAGUAGCUGGUCUGAGAGGACGACCAGCCACACUGGAACUGAGACACGGUCCAGACUCCUACGGGAGGCAGCAGUGGGGAAUUUUGGACAAUGGGCGCAAGCCUGAUCCAGCCAUUCCGCGUGAGUGAAGAAGGCCUUCGGGUUGUAAAGCUCUUUCGCAAGGGAAGAAAACUUACCAUCGAAUAAAUGGUGAGGCUGACGGUACCUUGAUAAGAAGCACCGGCUAACUACGUG
rnacentral:rRNA from 1 species